UGCAGGAAGAGGAUGAGGUAGCCAACACUAUUUUUAUAUAUAUAUAUAUAUAUAUAUAUAUGUAUUUUUUUUUUUUAUUGGGGUAGCCCCCAAAAUAUUGGGACAUAUAAAAAAAGACAACUCUGUUCUGCAGAGUAGCUGUUGACAUUAUAGUUGCUCAGGAACUUUGUUGACUCUAGAGAACCUCGGGGCGGCGACUUUGCAUGCGGAUGUCAUCCAUAUCAACUUUAGAUGCCAGUUUCUGCGCCUACCAUGGUGACCACGGGUAACGGGGAAUCAGGGUUCCAUUCCGCACAGGGACCCUGAGAAACGGCUACCAGAUGCAAGGCAGCA
rnacentral:rRNA from 1 species